rnacentral:rRNA from 1 species
GAUGAACGCUGGCGGCGUGCCUAAUACAUGCAAGUCGAGCGAACGGACGAGAAGCUUGCUUUUCUGAUGUUAGCGGCGGACGGGUGAGUAACACGUGGAUAACCUACCUAUAAGACUGGGAUAACUUCGGGAAACCGGAGCUAAUACCGGAUAAUAUUUUGAACCGCAUGGUUCAAAAGUGAAAGACGGUCUUGCUGUCACUUAUAGAUGGAUCCGCGCUGCAUUAGCUAGUUGGUAAGGUAACGGCUUACCAAGGCGACGAUGCAUAGCCGACCUGAGAGGGUGAUCGGCCACACUGGAACUGAGACACGGUCCAGACUCCUACGGGAGGCAGCAGUAGGGAAUCUUCCGCAAUGGGCGAAAGCCUGACGGAGCAACGCCGCGUGAGUGAUGAAGGUCUUCGGAUCGUAAAACUCUGUUAUUAGGGAAGAACAUAUGUGUAAGUAACUGUGCACAUCUUGACGGUACCUAAUCAGAAAGCCACGGCUAACUACGUG